rnacentral:rRNA from 1 species
UACGAAGGGGGCUAGCGUUGCUCGGAAUCACUGGGCGUAAAGCGCACGUAGGCGGCUUUCUAAGUCAGGGGUGAAAUCCUGGAGCUCAACUCCAGAACUGCCUUUGAUACUGGGAAGCUCGAGUCCGGAAGAGGUGAGUGGAACUCCGAGUGUAGAGGUGAAAUUCGUAGAUAUUCGGAAGAACACCAGUGGCGAAGGCGGCUCACUGGUCUGGUACUGACGCUGAGGUGCGAAAGCGUGGGGAGCAAACAGG